UACGUAGGGGGCGAGCGUUGUCCGGAGUUACUGGGCGUAAAGCGCACGCAGGCGGUCUGUUAAGUUUGGAGUGACAGUUGGUGGCUCAACCACCAAAGUGCUUUGAAAACUGGCAGACUUGAGGGCUUCAGAGGGACACGGAAUUCCGGGUGGAGUGGUGAAAUGCGUAGAGAUCCGGAGGAACACCGAAGGCGAAGGCAGUGUCCUGGGGAGUACCUGACGCUCGAGGUGCGAAAGCCAGGGGAGCGAACGGG
rnacentral:rRNA from 1 species